UCAGUGCUGCAGCUAACGCAUUAAGCACUCCGCCUGGGGAGUACGACCGCAAGGUUGAAACUCAAAGGAAUUGACGGGGGCCCGCACAAGCGGUGGAGCAUGUGGUUUAAUUCGAAGCAACGCGAAGAACCUUACCAGGUCUUGACAUCCUUUGACCACUCUAGAGAUAGAGCUUCCCCUUCGGGGGCAAAGUGACAGGUGGUGCAUGGUUGUCGUCAGCUCGUGUCGUGAGAUGUUGGGUUAAGUCCCGCAACGAGCGCAACCCUUAUUGUUAGUUGCCAUCAUUNAGUUGGGCACUCUAGCAAGACUGCCGGUGACAAACCGGAGGAAGGUGGGGAUGACGUCAAAUCAUCAUGCCCCUUAUGACCUGGGCUACACACGUGCUACAAUGGGAAGUACAACGAGUUGCGAAGUCGCGAGGCUAAGCUAAUCUCUUAAAGCUUCUCUCAGUUCG
rnacentral:rRNA from 1 species